rnacentral:SRP_RNA from 1 species
GCCGGGCAUGGUGGUGCAUGCCUGUAAUCCCAGCUACUCCGGAGGCUGAGGCAGAAGAAUUGCUUGAACCUGGGAGGUGGAGGUUGCAGUGAGUCAAGAUUGCACCAUUGCACUCCCACCUGGGCAAAAGGGCAAGACUCUGUCUUGU